rnacentral:rRNA from 1 species
GACGAACGCUGGCGGCGUGCUUAACACAUGCAAGUCGAACGGAAAGGCCCUGCUUUUGUGGGGUGCUCGAGUGGCGAACGGGUGAGUAACACGUGAGUAACCUGCCCUUGACUUUGGGAUAACUUCAGGAAACGGGGGCUAAUACCGGAUAGGAGCUCCUGCUGCAUGGUGGGGGUUGGAAAGUUUCGGCGGUUGGGGAUGGACUCGCGGCUUAUCAGCUUGUUGGUUGGGUAGUGGCUUACCACGGCUUUGACGGGUAGCCGGCCUGAGAGGGUGACCGGCAACAUUGGGACUGAGAUACGCCCCAGACUCCAACGGGAGGCAGCAGUGGGGAAUAUUGCACAAUGGGCGGAAGCCUGAUGCAGCAACGCCGCGUGCGGGAUGACGGCCUUCGGGUUGUAAACCGCUUUCGCCUGUGACGAAGCGUGAGUGACGGUAAUGGGUAAAGAAGCACCGGCUAACUACGUG